rnacentral:lncRNA from 1 species
AGCCACGAAAUUGAGGUACGCAGAAGAUGAACAAACCUGAGAAUUGAUGAUCGAAUGAAGAGUCGGAGCUCGAGCAUCACAUAGUCGUCAGCUAUGGUGGCUUGUGGGCGGAUGUUUCUCAGACCUAAGUUGUUGCCGCUGGACCGUGGUUACAUUCAUCCUAGCUUGGAGGAAACGGUGUGGGUGGGUAUGCAUGUGCAGGGCGAAGAAGUGGACGAAGGCCGAAGAAGCAAUCUCUGCCUCCCUAUUGCUGCGUCCUGCUCCUCAAUAUGUCACCUUAGUCAUGGCCGCCUUAUCCCUCAUGCUGCUGAUUUGAAUCUGCCCUACUCUUCUUCUCCUAGACUGCUCGAGCGCUUCAGCGGGUGCCUUGCCGACGACAGGGAAGGAAGGACCAGAGUAAGUAUAAUAUGGAAGUUCCUGUUCAAAUUAGUAGAAUAUGCUUACCAGGGGUUAGAAUUUAUAGAUAUAUACCACAAUUUUCACUACAGAUUAAAUAUAAUAUGAAAGUUCUUGUCAGUUUUCUUUGUAGUUAGUUUGCGACAAUCACAACAUGAUCAUUUGAAUAUUUUGUUGUAACAAAUCUAUUAUAGCUAUUGUUGUGAAAGAAAAAUCCUUAAAAAAUCACCCAAUAGCAACCCGAGGAAGUUAAGAGACAUAAAUGAUCCAGAUAUGGUUCCAUUAUGCUCCCUCUGUUCGAUAAUAUAUGACGUUUUCUGGCAGUACACAAUGCCAAAAACGUCUUAUAUUAUGGGACAGAAGCGAGUUUGUGAUUCUUUUGGUUAUUCUUGAUUCCACAUGCUUCAUUUGGGUGAAUAAUCCAUUGGCAUCCAAAUUUGGAGAUUAAUUCACCUAUGUAAUGUGCAUAAUCAAUGACACAUUUUUGCUAUGAUGAAUAUGUAAAUAAAUUUUGUACAAUUCCAUAAAUACACAGUUAAGCCAUUUUGUUGUAAAGAUAAUGUAGAUAAUUUUUUAUAGCUUUGCAAAUAAGAUUAACCUUGGUGUAUAAAUCCGAUCAGAGUAGAGGUAGCUAUGCAAUGGUCUUGCGUCACAUCAUUAGUCUAAGGCUCUAACCACAUUCAUGGAGAAUCUAACAUCUCAACUACGCAUAUCUGUUUGUUCCAGAAGCCACGAAAUUGAGGUAUGUAGAAGAUAAACAAACCUGAGAAUUGAUGAUCGAAUGAAGAGUCGGAGCUCGAGCAUCACAUAGCCGUCAGCUAUGGUGGCCUGUGGGCGGAUGUUUCUCAGACCUAAGUUGUUGCCGCUGGACCGUGGCUACAUUCAUCCUAGCUUGGAGGAAAUGGUGCGGGAAGAUAUGCAUGUGCAGGGCGAAGAAGUGGACGAAGGCCGAAGUAGCAAUCUCUGCCUCCCUAUCGCUGCGUCCUGCUCCUCAAUAUGUCACCUUAGUCAUGGCCGCCUUAUCCCUCAUGCUGCUGAUUUGAAUCUGCCCUACUCUUCUUCUCCUAGACUGCUCGAGCGCUUCAGCGGGUGCCUUGCCGACGACAGGGAAGGAAGGACCAGAGUAAGUAUAAUAUGGAAGUUCCUGUUCAAAUUAGUAGAAUAUGCUUACCAGGGGUUAGAAUUUAUAGAUAUAUACCACAAUUGUCACUACAGAUUAAAUAUAAUGUGAAACUUCUUGUCAGUUUUCUUUGUAGUUAGUUUGCGACAAUCAAAACAUGAUCAUUUGAAUAUUUUGUUAUAACAAAUCUAUUAUAGCUAUUGUUGUGAAAGAAAAAUCCUUAAAAAAUCACCCAAUAGCAACCCGAGGAAGUUAAGAGACAUAAAUGAUCCAGAUAUGGUUCCAUUAUGCUCCCUCUGUUCGAUAAUAUAUGACGUUUUCUGGCAGUACACAAUGCCAAAAACAUCUUAUAUUAUGGGAGAGAAGCGAGUUUGUGAUUCUUUUGGUUAUUCUUGAUUCCACAUGCUUCAUUUGGGUGAAUAAUCCAUUGGCAUCCAAAUUUGGAGAUUAAUUCACCUAUGUAAUGUGCAUAAUCAAUGACACAUUUUUGCUAUGAUGAAUAUGUAAAUAAAUUUUGUACAAUUCCAUAAAUACACAGUUAAGCAUUUUUGUUGUAAAGAUAAUGUAGAUAAUUUUUUAUAGCUUUGCAAAUAAGAUUAACCUUGGUGUAUAAAUCCGAUCAGAGUAGAGGUAGCUAUGCAAUGGUCUUGCGUCACAUCAUUAGUCUAAGGCUCUAACCACAUUCAUGGAGAAUCUAACAUCCCAACUACGCAUAUCUGUUUGUUCCAGAAGCCACGAAAUUGAGGUACGCAGAAGAUGAACUAACCUGAGAACUGAUGAACCAAAGAAGAGUCGGAGGUCGAGCAUCACAUAGCUGUCAGCUAUGGUGGCUUGUAGGCGGAUGUGUCUCACACCUAAGUUUUUGCCGCUGGACCGUGGUUACAUUCAUCCUAGCUUGGAGGCAACGGUGUGGGUGGGUAUGCAUGUGCAAGGCGAAGAAGUGGACGAAGGCCAAAGAAGCAAUCUCUGCCUCCCUAUCGCUGCGUCCUGCUCCUCAAUAUGUCACCUUAGUCAUGGCCGCCUUAUCCCUCAUGCUGCUGAUUUGAAUCUGCCCUACUCUUCUUCUCCUAGACUGCUCGAGCGCUUCAGCGGGUGCCUUGCCGACGACAGGGAAGGAAGGACCAGAGUAAGUAUAAUAUGGAAGUUCCUGUUCAAAUUAGUAGAAUAUGCUUACCAGGGGUUAGAAUUUAUAGAUAUAUACCAAUUUGUCACUACAGAUUAUAUAUAAUAUGAAAGUUCUUGUCAGUUUUCUUUGUAGUUAGUUUGCGACAAUCACAACAUGAUCAUUUGAAUAUUUUGUUGUAACAAAUCUAUUAUAGCUAUUGUUGUGAAAGAAAAAUCCUUAAAAAAUCACCCAAUAGCAACCCGAGGAAGUUAAGAGACAUAAAUGAUCCAGAUAUGGUUCCAUUAUGCUCCCUCUGUUCGAUAAUAUAUGACGUUUUCUGGCAGUACACAAUGCCAAAAACGUCUUAUAUUAUGGGAGAGAAGCGAGUUUGUGAUUCUUUUGGUUAUUCUUGAUUCCACAUGCUUCAUUUGGGUGAAUAAUCCAUUGGCAUCCAAAUUUGGAGAUUAAUUCACCUAUGUAAUGUGCAUAAUCAAUGACACAUUUUUGCUAUGAUGAAUAUGUAAAUAAAUUUUGUACAAUUCCAUAAAUACACAGUUAAGCAUUUUUGUUGUAAAGAUAAUGUAGAUAAUUUUUUAUAGCUUUGCAAAUAAGAUUAACCUUGGUGUAUAAAUCCGAUCAGAGUAGAGGUAGCUAUGCAAUGGUCUUGCGACACAUCAUUAGUCUAAGGCUCUAACCACAUUCAUGGAGAAUCUAACAUCCCAACUACGCAUAUCUGUUUGUUCCAGAAGCCACGAAAUUGAGGUACGCAGAAGAUGAACAAACCUGAGAACUGAUGAUCCAAAGAAGAGUCGGAGCUCGAGCAUCACAUAGCUGUCAGCUAUGGUGGCUUGUAGGCGGAUGUGUUUCACACCUAAGUUUUUGCCGCUGGACCAUGGUUACGUUCAUCCUAGCUUGGAGGCAACGGUGUGGGUGGGUAUGCAUGUGCAAGGCGAAGAAGUGGACGAAGGCCGAAGAAGCAAUCUCUGCCUCCCUAUCGCUGCGUCCUGCUCCUCAAUAUGUCACCUUAGUCAUGGCCGCCUUAUCCCUCAUGCUGCUGAUUUGAAUCUGCCCUACUCUUCUUCUCCUAGACUGCUCGAGCGCUUCAGCGGGUGCCUUGCGGACGACAGGGAAGGAAGGACCAGAGUAAGUAUAAUAUGGAAGUUCCUGUUCAAAUUAGUAGAAUAUGCUUACCAGGGGUUAGAAUUUAUAGAUAUAUACCACAAUUUUCACUACAGAUUAAAUAUAAUAUGAAAGUUCUUGUCAGUUUUCUUUGUAGUUAGUUUGCGACAAUCAAAACAUGAUCAUUUGAAUAUUUUGUUGUAACAAAUCUAUUAUAGCUAUUGUUGUGAAAGAAAAAUCCUUAAAAAAUCACCCAAUAGCAACCCGAGGAAGUUAAGAGACAUAAAUGAUCCAGAUAUGGUUCCAUUAUGCUCCCUCUGUUCGAUAAUAUAUGACGUUUUCUGGCAGUACACAAUGCCAAAAACGUCUUAUAUUAUGGGACAGAAGCGAGUUUGUGAUUUUUUUGGUUAUUCUUGAUUCCACAUGCUUCAUUUGGGUGAAUAAUCCAUUGGCAUCCAAAUUUGGAGAUUAAUUCACCUAUGUAAUGUGCAUAAUCAAUGACACAUUUUUGCUAUGAUGAAUAUGUAAAUAAAUUUUGUACAAUUCCAUAAAUACACAGUUAAGCAUUUUUGUUGUAAAGAUAAUGUAGAUAAUUUUUUAUAGCUUUGCAAAUAAGAUUAACCUUGGUGUAUAAAUCCGAUCAGAGUAGAGGUAGCUAUGCAAUGGUCUUGCGUCACAUCAUUAGUCUAAAGCUCUAACCACAUUCAUGGAGAAUCUAACAUCCCAACUACGCAUAUCUGUUUGUUCCAGAAGCCACGAAAUUGAGGUACGCAGAAGAUGAACAAACCUGAGAACUGAUGAUCCAAAGAAGAGUCGGAGCUCGAGCAUCACAUAGCUGUCAGCUAUGGUGGCUUGUAGGCGGAUGUGUCUCACACCUAAGUUUUUGCCGCUGGACCGUGGUUACGUUCAUCCUAGCUUGGAGGCAACGGUGUGGGUGGGUAUGCAUGUGCAAGGCGAAGAAGUGGACGACGGCCGAAGAAGCAAUCUCUGCCUCCCUAUCGCUGCGUCCUGCUCCUCAAUAUGUCACCUUAGUCAUGGCCGCCUUAUCCCUCAUGCUGCUGAUUUGAAUCUGCCCUACUCUUCUUCUCCUAGACUGCUCGAGCGCUUCAGCGGGUGCCUUGCCGACGACAGGGAAGGAAGGACCAGAGUAAGUACAAUAUGGAAGUUCCUGUUCAAAUUAGUAGAAUAUGCUUACUAGGUGUUAGAAUUUAUAGAUAUAUACCACAAUUUUCACUACAGAUUAAAUAUAAUAUGAAAGUUCUUGUUAGUUUUCUUUGUAGUUAGUUUGCGACAAUCACAACAUGACCAUUUGAAUAUUUUGUUGUAACAAAUCUAUUAUAGCUAUUGUUGUGAAAGAAAAAUCCUUAAAAAAUCACCCAAUAGCAACCCGAGGAAGUUAAGAGACAUAAAUGAUCCAGAUAUGGUUCCAUUAUGCUCCCUCUGUUCGAUAAUAUAUGACGUUUUCUGGCAGUACACAAUGCCAAAAACGUCUUAUAUUAUGGGACAGAAGCGAGUUUGUGAUUAUUUUCGGUUAUUCUUGAUUCCACAUGCUUCAUUUGGGUGAAUAAUCCAUUGGCAUCCAAAUUUGGAGAUUAAUUCACCUAUGUAAUGUGCAUAAUCAAUGACACAUUUUUGCUAUGAUGAAUAUGUAAAUAAAUUUUGUACAAUUCCAUAAAUACAUAGUUAAGAAUUUUUGUUGUAAAGAUAAUGUAGAUAAUUUUUUAUAGCUUUGCAAAUAAGAUUAACCUUGGUGUAUAAAUCCGAUCAGAGUAGAGGUAGCUAUGCAAUGGUCUUGCGUCACAUCAUUAGUCUAAGGCUCUAACCACAUUCAUGGAGAAUCUAACAUCUCAACUACGCAUAUCUGUUUGUUGCAGAAGCCACGAAAUUGAGGUACGCAGAAGAUGAACAAACCUGAGAACUGAUGAUCCAAAGAAGAGUCGGAGCUCGAGCAUCACAUAGCUGUCAGCUACGGUGGAUUGUAGGCGGAUGUGUCUCAGACCUAUGUUUUUGCCGCUGGACCGUGGUUACGUUCAUCCUAGCUUGGAGGCAACGGUGUGGGUGGGUAUGCAUGUGCAAGGCGAAGAAGUGGACGAAGGCUGAAGAAGCAAUCUCUGCCUCCCUAUCGCUGCGUCCUGCUCCUCAAUAUGUCACCUUAGUCAUGGCCGCCUUAUCCCUCAUGCUGCUGAUUUGAAUCUGCCCUAAUCUUCUUCUCCUAGACUGCUCGAGCGCUUCAGCGGGUGCCUUGCCGACGACAGGGAAGGAAGGACCAGAGUAAGUAUAAUAUGGAAGUUCCUGUUCAAAUUAGUAGAAUAUGCUUACCAGGUGUUAGAAUUUAUAGAUAUAUACCACAAUUUUCACUACAGAUUAAAUAUAAUAUGAAAGUUCUUGUCAGUUUUCUUUGUAGUUAGUUUGCGACAAUCACAACAUGAUCAUUUGAAUAUUUUGUUGUAACAAAUCUAUUAUAGCUAUUGUUGUGAAAGAAAAAUCCUUAAAAAAUCACCCAAUAGCAACCCAAGGAAGUUAAGAGACAUAAAUGAUCAGAAUAUGGUUCCAUUAUGCUCCCUCUGUUCGAUAAUAUAUGACGUUUUCUGGCAGUACACAAUGCCAAAAACGUCUUAUAUUAUGGGACAGAAGCGAGUUUGUGAUUUUUUUGGUUAUUCUUGAUUCCACAUGCUUCAUUUGGGUGAAUAAUCCAUUGGCAUCCAAAUUUGGAGAUUAAUUCACCUAUGUAAUGUGCAUAAUCAAUGACACAUUUUUGCUAUGAUGAAUAUGUAAAUAAAUUUUGUACAAUUCCAUAAAUACACAGUUAAGCAUUUUUGUUGUAAAGAUAAUGUAGAUAAUUUUUUAUAGCUUUGCAAAUAAGAUUAACCUUGGUGUAUAAAUCCGAUCAGAGUAGAGGUAGCUAUGCAAUGGUCUUGCGUCACAUCAUUAGUCCAAGGCUCUAAGCACAUUCAUGGAGAAUCUAACAUCCCAACUACGCAUAUCUGUUUGUUCCAGAAGCCACGAAAUUGAGGUACGCAGAAGAUGAACAAACCUGAGAACUGAUGAUCCAAAGAAGAGUCGGAGCUCGAGCAUCACAUAGCUGUCAGCUAUGGUGGCUUGUAGGCGGAUGUGUCUCACACCUAAGUUUUUGCCGCUGGACCGUGGUUACGUUCAUCCUAGCUUGGAGGCAACGGUGUGGGUGGGUAUGCAUGUGCAAGGCGAAGAAGUGGACGAAGGCCGAAGAAGCAAUCUCUGCCUCCCUAUCGCUGCGUCCUGCUCCUCAAUAUGUCACCUUAGUCAUGGCCGCCUUAUCCCUCAUGCUGCUGAUUUGAAUCUGCCCUACUCUUCUUCUCCUAGACUGCUCGAGCGCUUCAGCGGGUGCCUUGCCGACGACAGGGAAGGAAGGACCAGAGUAAGUAUAAUAUGGAAGUUCCUGUUCAAAUUAGUAGAAUAUGCUUACUAGGUGUUAGAAUUUAUAGAUAUAUACCACAAUUUUCACUACAGAUUAAAUAUAAUAUGAAAGUUCUUGUUAGUUUUCUUUGUAGUUAGUUUGCGACAAUCACAACAUGACCAUUUGAAUAUUUUGUUGUAACAAAUCUAUUAUAGCUAUUGUUGUGAAAGAAAAAUCCUUAAAAAAUCACCCAAUAGCAACCCGAGGAAGUUAAGAGACAUAAAUGAUCCAGAUAUGGUUCCAUUAUGCUCCCUCUGUUCGAUAAUAUAUGACGUUUUCUGGCAGUACACAAUGCCAAAAACGUCUUAUAUUAUGGGACAGAAGCGAGUUUGUGAUUAUUUUCGGUUAUUCUUGAUUCCACAUGCUUCAUUUGGGUGAAUAAUCCAUUGGCAUCCAAAUUUGGAGAUUAAUUCACCUAUGUAAUGUGCAUAAUCAAUGACACAUUUUUGCUAUGAUGAAUAUGUAAAUAAAUUUUGUACAAUUCCAUAAAUACAUAGUUAAGAAUUUUUGUUGUAAAGAUAAUGUAGAUAAUUUUUUAUAGCUUUGCAAAUAAGAUUAACCUUGGUGUAUAAAUCCGAUCAGAGUAGAGGUAGCUAUGCAAUGGUCUUGCGUCACAUCAUUAGUCUAAGGCUCUAACCACAUUCAUGGAGAAUCUAACAUCUCAACUACGCAUAUCUGUUUGUUGCAGAAGCCACGAAAUUGAGGUACGCAGAAGAUGAACAAACCUGAGAACUGAUGAUCCAAAGAAGAGUCGGAGCUCGAGCAUCACAUAGCUGUCAGCUACGGUGGAUUGUAGGCGGAUGUGUCUCAGACCUAUGUUUUUGCCGCUGGACCGUGGUUACGUUCAUCCUAGCUUGGAGGCAACGGUGUGGGUGGGUAUGCAUGUGCAAGGCGAAGAAGUGGACGAAGGCUGAAGAAGCAAUCUCUGCCUCCCUAUCGCUGCGUCCUGCUCCUCAAUAUGUCACCUUAGUCAUGGCCGCCUUAUCCCUCAUGCUGCUGAUUUGAAUCUGCCCUAAUCUUCUUCUCCUAGACUGCUCGAGCGCUUCAGCGGGUGCCUUGCCGACGACAGGGAAGGAAGGACCAGAGUAAGUAUAAUAUGGAAGUUCCUGUUCAAAUUAGUAGAAUAUGCUUACCAGGUGUUAGAAUUUAUAGAUAUAUACCACAAUUUUCACUACAGAUUAAAUAUAAUAUGAAAGUUCUUGUCAGUUUUCUUUGUAGUUAGUUUGCGACAAUCACAACAUGAUCAUUUGAAUAUUUUGUUGUAACAAAUCUAUUAUAGCUAUUGUUGUGAAAGAAAAAUCCUUAAAAAAUCACCCAAUAGCAACCCAAGGAAGUUAAGAGACAUAAAUGAUCAGAAUAUGGUUCCAUUAUGCUCCCUCUGUUCGAUAAUAUAUGACGUUUUCUGGCAGUACACAAUGCCAAAAACGUCUUAUAUUAUGGGACAGAAGCGAGUUUGUGAUUUUUUUGGUUAUUCUUGAUUCCACAUGCUUCAUUUGGGUGAAUAAUCCAUUGGCAUCCAAAUUUGGAGAUUAAUUCACCUAUGUAAUGUGCAUAAUCAAUGACACAUUUUUGCUAUGAUGAAUAUCUAAAUAAAUUUUGUGCAAUUCCAUAAAUACACAGUUAAGCAUUUUUGUUGUAAAGAUAAUGUAGAUAAUUUUUUAUAGCUUUGCAAAUAAGAUUAACCUUGGUGUAUAAAUCCGAUCAGAGUAGAGGUAGCUAUGCAAUGGUCUUGCGUCACAUCAUUAGUCUAAGGCUCUAACCACAUUCAUGCAGAAUCUAACAUCCCAACUACGCAUAUCUGUUUGUUCCAGAAGCCAAGAAAUUGAGGUACGCAGAAGAUGAACAAUCCUGAGAAUUGAUGAUCGAAUGAAGAGUCGGAGCUCGAGCAUCACAUAGCCGUCAGCUAUGGUGGCUUGUGGGCGGAUGUUUCUCAGAACUAAGUUGUUGCCGCUGGACCGUGGUUACAUUCAUCCUAGCUUGGAGGAAAGGUGCGGGAAGAUAUGCAUGUGCAGGGCGAAGAAGUGGACGAAGGCCGAAGUAGCAAUCUCUGCCUCCCUAUCGCUGCGUCCUGCUCCUCAAUAUGUCACCUUAGUCAUGGCCGCCUUAUCCCUCAUGCUGCUGAUUUGAAUCUGCCCUACUCUUCUUCUCCUAGACUGCUCGAGCAGCGGGUGCCUUGCCGACGACAGGGAAGGAAGGACCAGAGUAAGUAUAAUAUGGAAGUUCCUGUUCAAAUUAGUAGAAUAUGCUUACCAGGGGUUAGAAUUUAUAGAUAUAUACCACAAUUUUCACUACAGAUUAAAUAUAAUAUGAAAGUUCUUGUCAGUUUUCUUUGUAGUUAGUUUGCGACAAUCACAACAUGAUCAUUUGAAUAUUUUGUUGUAACAAAUCUAUUAUAGCUAUUGUUGUGAAAGAAAAAUCCUUAAAAAAUCACCCAAUAGCAACCCGAGGAAGUUAAGAGACAUAAAUGAUCCAGAUAUGGUUCCAUUAUGCUCCCUCUGUUUGAUAAUAUAUGACGUUUUCUGGCAGUACACAAUGCCAAAAACGUCUUAUAUUAUGGGACAGAAGCGAGUUUGUGAUUCUUUUGGUUAUUCUUGAUUCCACAUGCUUCAUUUGGGUGAAUAAUCCAUUGGCAUCCAAAUUUGGAGAUUAAUUCACCUAUGUAAUGUGCAUAAUCAAUGACACAUUUUUGCUAUGAUGAAUAUGUAAAUAAAUUUUGUACAAUUCCAUAAAUACACAGUUAAGCAUUUUUGUUGUAAAGAUAAUGUAGAUAAUUUUUUAUAGCUUUGCAAAUAAGAUUAACCUUGGUGUAUAAAUCCGAUCAGAGUAGAGGUAGCUAUGCAAUGGUCUUGCGUCACAUCAUUAGUCUAAGGCUCUAACCACAUUCAUGGAGAAUCUAACAUCCCAACUACGCAUAUCUGUUUGUUCCAGAAGCCACGAAAUUGAGGUACGCAGAAGAUGAACAAACCUGAGAAUUGAUGAUCGAAUGAAGAGUCGGAGCUCGAGCAUCACAUAGNNNNNNNNNNNNNNNNNNNNNNNNNNNNNNNNNNNNNNNNNNNNNNNNNNNNNNNNNNNNNNNNNNNNNNNNNNNNNNNNNNNNNNNNNNNNNNNNNNNNAGUGGACGAAGGCUGAAGAAGCAAUCUCUGCCUCCCUAUCGCUGCGUCCUGCUCCUCAAUAUGUCACCUUAGUCAUGGCCGCCUUAUCCCUCAUGCUGCUGAUUUGAAUCUGCCCUACUCUUCUUCUCCUAGACUGCUCGAGCGCUUCAGCGGGUGCCUUGCCGACGACAGGGAAGGAAGGACCAGAGUAAGUAUAAUAUGGAAGUUCCUGUUCAAAUUAGUAGAAUAUGCUUACCAGGUGUUAGAAUUUAUAGAUAUAUACCACAAUUUUCACUACAGAUUAAAUAUAAUAUGAAAGUUCUUGUCAGUUUUCUUUGUAGUUAGUUUGCGACAAUCACAACAUGAUCAUUUGAAUAUUUUGUUGUAACAAAUCUAUUAUAGCUAUUGUUGUGAAAGAAAAAUCCUUAAAAAAUCACCCAAUAGCAACCCGAGGAAGUUAAGAGACAUAAAUGAUCCAGAUAUGGUUCCAUUAUGCUCCCUCUGUUUGAUAAUAUAUGAAGUUUUCUGCCAGUACACAAUGCCAAAAACGUCUUAUAUUAUGGGACAGAAGCGAGUUUGUGAUUUUUUUGGUUAUUCUAGAUUCCACAUGCUUCAUUUGGGUGAAUAAUCCAUUGGCAUCCAAAUUUGGAGAUUAAUUCACCUAUGUAAUGUGCAUAAUCAAUGACACAUUUUUGCUUUGAUGAAUAUGUAAAUAAAUUUUGUACAAUUCCAUAAAUACACAGUUAAGCAUUUUUGUUGUAAAGAUAAUGUAGAUAAUUUUUUAUAGCUUUGCAAAUAAGAUUAACCUUGGUGUAUAAAUCCGAUCAGAGUAGAGGUAGCUAUGCAAUGGUCUUGCGUCACAUCAUUAGUCUAAGGCUCUAACCACAUUCAUGGAGAAUCUAACAUCCCAACUACGCAUAUCUGUUUGUUCCAGAAGCCACGAAAUUGAGGUACGCAGAAGAUGAAGAAACCUGAGAAUUGAUGAUCGAAUGAAGAGUCGGAGCUCGAGCAUCACAUAGUCGUCAGCUAUGGUGGCUUGUGGGCGGAUGUUUCUCAGACCUAAGUUGUUGCCGCUGGACCGUGGUUACAUUCAUCCUAGCUUGGAGGAAAUGGUGCGGGAAGAUAUGCAUGUGCUGGGCGAAGAAGUGGACGAAGGCCGAAGUAGCAAUCUCUGCCUCCCUAUCGCUGCGUCCUGCUCCUCACUAUGUCACCUUAGUCAUUGCCGCCUUAUCCCUCAUGCUGCUGAUGUGAAUCUGCCCUACUCUUCUUCUCCUAGACUGCUCGAGCGCUUCAGCGGGUGCCUUGCCGACGACAGGGAAGGAAGGACCAGAGUAAGUAUAAUAUGGAAGUUCCUGUUCAAAUUAGUAGAAUAUGCUUACCAGGUGUUAGAAUUUAUAGAUAUAUACCACAAUUUUCACUACAGAUUAAAUAUAAUAUGAAAGUUCUUGUCAGUUUUCUUUGUAGUUAGUUUGCGAAAAUCACAACAUGAUCAUUUGAAUAUUUUGUUGUAACAAAUCUAUUAUAGCUAUUGUUGUGAAAGAAAAAGCCUUAAAAAAUCACCCAAUAGCAACCCGAGGAAGUUAAGAGACAUAAAUGAUCCAGAUAUGGUUCCAUUAUGCUCCCUCUGUUCGAUAAUAUAUGACGUUUUCUGGCAGUACACAAUGCCAAAAACGUCUUAUAUUAUGGGACAGAAGCGAGUUUGUGAUUCUUUUGGUUAUUCUUGAUUCCACAUGCUUCAUUUGGGUGAAUAAUCCAUUGGCAUCCAAAUUUGGAGAAUAAUUCACCUAUUUAAUGUGCAUAAUCAAUGACACAUUUUUGCUAUGAUGAAUAUGUAAAUAAAUUUUGUACAAUUCCAUAAAUACACAGUUAAGCGUUUUUGUUGUAAAGAUAAUGUAGAUAAUUUUUAUAGCUUUGCAAAUAAGAUUAACCUUGGUGUAUAAAUCGGAUCAGAGUAGAGGUAGCUAUGCAAUGGUCUUGCGUCACAUCAUUAGUCUAAGGCUCUAACCACAUUCAUGGAGAAUCUAACAUCCCAACUAUGCAUAUCUGUUUGUUCCGGAAGCCAAGAAAUUGAGGGACGCAGAAGAUGAACAAAGCUGAGAAUUGAUGAUCGAAUGAAGAGUCGGAGCUCGAGCAUCACAUAGCCGUCAGCUAUGGUGGCUUGUGGGCGGAUGUUUCUCAGACCUAAGUUGUUGCCGCUGGACCGUGGUUACAUUCAUCCUAGCUUGGAGGAAAUGGUGCGGGAAGAUAUGCAUGUGCAGGGCGAAGAAGUGGACGAAGGCCGAAGUAGCAAUCUCUGCCUCCCUAUCGCUGCGUCCUUCUCCUCAAUAUGUCACCUUAGUCAUGGCCGCCUUAUCCCUCAUGCUGCUGAUUUGAAUCUGCCCUACUCUUCUUCUCCUAGACUGCUCGAGCGCUUCAGCGGGUGCCUUCCCAACGACAGGGAAGGAAGGACCAGAGUAAGUAUAAUAUGGAAGUUCUUGUUCAAAUUAGUAGAAUAUGCUUACCAGGUGUUAGAAUUUAUAGAUAUAUACCACAAUUUUCACUACAGAUUAAAUAUAAUAUGAAAGUUCUUGUCAGUUUUCUUUGUAGUUAGUUUGCGACAAUCACAACAUGAUCAUUUGAAUAUUUUGUUGUAACAAAUCUAUUAUAGCUAUUGUUGUGAAAGAAAAAUCCUUAAAAAAUCACCCAAUAGCAACCCGAGGAAGUUAAGAGACAUAAAUGAUCCAGAUAUGGUUCCAUUAUGCUCCCUCUGUUCGAUAAUAUAUGACGUUUUCUGGCAGUACACAAUGCCAAAAACGUCUUAUAUUAUGGGACAGAAGCGAGUUUGUGAUUUUUUUGGUUAUUCUUGAUUCCACAUGCUUCAUUUGGGUGAAUAAUCCAUUGGCAUCCAAAUUUGGAGAUUAAUUCACCUAUGUAAUGUGCAUAAUCAAUGACACAUUUUUGCUAUGAUGAAUAUGUAAAUAAAUUUUGUACAAUUCCAUAAAUACACAGUUAAGCAUUUUUGUUGUAAAGAUAAUGUAGAUAAUUUUUUAUAGCUUUGCAAAUAAGAUUAACCUUGGUGUAUAAAUCCGAUCAGAGUAGACGUAGCUAUGGAAUGGUCUUGCGUCACAUCAUUAGUCUAAGGCUCUAACCACAUUCAUGGAGAAUCUAACAUCCCAACUACGCAUAUCUGUUUGUUCCAGAAGCCAAGAAAUUGAGGUACGCAGAAGAUGAACAAACCUGAGAAUUGAUGAUCGAAUGAAGAGUCGGAGCUCGAGCAUCACAUAGCCGUCAGCUAUGGUGGCUUGUGGGCGGAUGUUUCUCAGACCUAAGUUGUUGCCGCUGGACCGUGGUUACAUUCAUCCUAGCUUGGAGGAAAUGGUGCGGGAAGAUAUGCAUGUGCAGGGCGAAGAAGUGGACGAAGGCCGAAGUAGCAAUCUCUGCCUCCCUAUCGCUGCGUCCUGCUCCUCAAUAUGUCACCUUAGUCAUGGCCGCCUUAUCCCUCAUGCUGCUGAUUUGAAUCUGCCCUACUCUUCUUCUCCUAGACUGCUCGAGCGCUUCAGCGGGUGCCUUGCCGACGACAGGGAAGGAAGGACCAGAGUAAGUAUAAUAUGGAAGUUCCUAUUCAAAUUAGUAGAAUAUGCUUACCAGGUGUUAGAAUUUAUAGAUAUAUACCACAAUUUUCACUACAGAUUAAAUAUAAUAUGAAAGUUCUUGUCAGUUUUCUUUGUAGUUAGUUUGCGACAAUCACAACAUGAUCAUUUGAAUAUUUUGUUGUAACAAAUCUAUUAUAGCUAUUGUUGUGAAAGAAAAAUCCUUAAAAAAAUCACCCAAUAGCAACCCGAGGAAGUUAAGAGACAUAAAUGAUCCAGAUAUGGUUCCAUUAUGCUCCCUCUGUUCGAUAAUAUAUGACGUUUUCUGGCAGUACACAAUGCCAAAAACGUCUUAUAUUAUGGGACAGAAGCGAGUUUGUGAUUUUUUUGGUUAUUCUUGAUUCCACAUGCUUCAUUUGGGUGAAUAAUCCAUUGGCAUCCAAAUUUGGAGAUUAAUUCACCUAUGUAAUGUGCAUAAUCAAUGACACAUUUUUGCUAUGAUGAAUAUGUAAAUAAAUUUUGUACAAUUCCAUAAAUACACAGUUAAGCAUUUUUGUUGUAAAGAUAAUGUAGAUAAUUUUUUAUAGCUUUGCAAAUAAGAUUAACCUUGGUGUAUAAAUCCGAUCAGAGUAGAGGUAGCUAUGCAAUGGUCUUGCGUCACAUCAUUAGUCUAAGGCUCUAACCACAUUCAUGGAGAAUCUAACAUCCCAACUACGCAUAUCUGUUUGUUCCAGAAGCCAAGAAAUUGAGGUACGCAGAAGAUGAACAAACCUGAGAAUUGAUGAUCGAAUGAAGAGUCGGAGCUCGAGCAUCACAUAGCCGUCAGCUAUGGUGGCUUGUGGGCGGAUGUUUCUCAGACCUAAGUUGUUGCCGCUGGACCGUGGUUACAUUCAUCCUAGCUUGGAGGAAAUGGUGCGGGAAGAUAUGCAUGUGCAGGGCGAAGAAGCGGACGAAGGCCGAAGUAGCAAUCUCUGCCUCCCUAUCGCUGCGUCCUGCUCCUCAAUAUGUCACCUU